AUGACGGUAUCCUAGGAAUAAGCCCCGGCCAAUUACGUGCCAGCAGCCGCGGUAACACGUAUGGGGCGAGCGUUGUUCGGAAUCAUUGGGCGUAAAGGGCGCGCAAGCGGUUAUGCAAGCCUGGUGUGAAAGACCGCAGCUCAACUGCGGGAUCGCGCUGGGAACUGUGUGACUUGAGUUCAAGAGGGGGAGCUGGAAUUCCUGGUGUAGGGGUGAAAUCUGUAGAUAUCAGGAAGAACAUCAGUGGCGAAGGCGAGCUCCUGGCUCUGAACUGACGCUGAGGCGCGAAAGCGUGGGGAGCAAACAGGAUUAGAUACCCUGGUAGUCCACGCUGUAAACGAUGUGCACUAGGUGUUGGGUCGAUGAAAGCUCAGUGCCGUAGCUAACGCGUUAAGUGCACCGCCUGGGGAGUAUG
rnacentral:rRNA from 1 species